UGAUGACGUCAGCUCCUUCGAUGUUGCC
rnacentral:sRNA from 1 species